rnacentral:rRNA from 1 species
GACGAACGCUGGCGGCGUGCUUAAAAACAUGCAAGUCGAACGGACUUCUCAUGAAGCUUGCGAUUGAGAAGUUAGUGGCGGACGGGUGAGUAACGCGUGGGCAACCUGCCCCUGAGCCCGGGAUAACAGUUCGAAAGGACUGCUAAGACCGGAUAUACUUGCGGUGAAGCAUUUCACUGCAAGGAAAGGGAACGCUCAGGGAUGGGCCCGCGUCCCAUUAGCUAGUUGGUGAGGUAACGGCCCACCAAGGCGACGAUGGGUAGCCGGCCUGAGAGGGUGAACGGCCACACUGGGACUGAGACACGGCCCAGACUCCUACGGGAGGCAGCAGUUGGGAAUCUUCGGCAAUGGGCGCAAGCCUGACCGAGCAACGCCGCGUGAGUGAUGAAGGUUUUCGGAUUGUAAAGCUCUGUCUUCCGGGACGAUAAUGACGGUACCGGAGGAGGAAGCCACGGCUAACUACGUGCCAGCAGCCGCGGUAAACAUAACUCGUA